rnacentral:rRNA from 1 species
AGAGUUUGAUCCUGGCUCAGGAUGAACGCUAGCGGCAGGCCUAAUACAUGCAAGUCAAGGGGUAGCAAUACACCGGCGGACGGGUGCGUAACACG